rnacentral:rRNA from 1 species
AACGAACGCUGGCGGCAUGCCUAACACAUGCAAGUCGAACGAAGCCUUCGGGCUUAGUGGCGCACGGGUGCGUAACGCGUGGGAAUCUGCCCUUUGGUUCGGAAUAACAGUUGGAAACGACUGCUAAUACCGGAUGAUGACGAGAGUCCAAAGAUUUAUCGCCAGAGGAUGAGCCCGCGUAGGAUUAGCUGGUUGGUGUGGUAAAGGCGCACCAAGGCGACGAUCCUUAGCUGGUCUGAGAGGAUGAUCAGCCACACUGGGACUGAGACACGGCCCAGACUCCUACGGGAGGCAGCAGUGGGGAAUAUUGGACAAUGGGCGAAAGCCUGAUCCAGCAAUGCCGCGUGAGUGAUGAAGGCCCUAGGGUUGUAAAGCUCUUUUACCCGGGAUGAUAAUGACAGUACCGGGAGAAUAAGCCCCGGCUAACUCCGUGCCAGCCGCCGCGGUAA